UACGAGGGGUCCUAGCGUUGUUCGGAUUCACUGGGCGUAAAGGGUGCGCAGGUGGGCUGGUAAGUUCGAUGUGAAAGCCCCGGGCUUAACCCGGGAAUGGCAUUGGAUACUACUGGUCUGGAGGAUUGGAGGGGGGGACUGGAAUUCUUGGUGUAGCAGUGAAAUGCGUAGAUAUCAAGAGGAACACCAGUGGCGAAGGCGAGUCCCUGGACAAUACCUGACACUGAGGUACGAAAAGCCAAAGGGAGCAAACAGG
rnacentral:rRNA from 1 species